rnacentral:rRNA from 1 species
UAGAAGGAGAGUGACGGGCGAUAUGUGCACAUUCUAUUGCCUUGUUCAGUUUAUUUUCCUAAAAUAAGCUUACUAACAAAUCCACCUUCACCCAAAUUAUAAUUUAAGAUCCGUAUUUUUUUAAAAACUGUAGCUCACCAUUUCCUUCAUAUAAACUGCACCUUGACCUGAAGUAAAAAAAUUAAUUUUAUAGAAAACAUCCUUUUGGAGUAAUCUGACAACGGAGGUAUACAAGCUAAACAAAUGAAGGUAAGAUAAAACGAGGGUUAUCGAUUAUAAGACAAGCUCCUCUAUUUGGUUAGAAUGCCGCCAAAACCUUUGGGUUUGAAGAACGACUUUUACUACCCUAUCACCUAUUGUAGAGAAUAACAGGGUAUCUAAUCCUGGUUUUUGGCCCCUUUUUUUUAUAUCCCUUCAAAUAAUUAAAGAUAAUUUACUUCUUUAUAUAAAUUUCACCUAAAAAAAGAAAAUAAUAUACUCAAAAUCAUUUACUGUUAAUUA